UGCGUAGGCGGGGCAAUUAGUCAGUGGUGAAAUCCUGCGGCUUAACCGUAGAACUGCCAUUGAUACUGUUGCUCUUGAGUAUAGUUGAGGUGGGCGGAAUGUGUAAUGUAGCGGUGAAAUGCAUAGAGAUUACACAGAACACCAAUUGCGAAGGCAGCUCACUAAACUAUAACUGACGCUGAGGCACGAAAGCGUGGGGAGCGAACGGGAUUAGAUACCCUGGUAGUCC
rnacentral:rRNA from 1 species